rnacentral:rRNA from 1 species
UACGUAGGGUGCGAGCGUUGUCCGGAAUUAUUGGGCGUAAAGAGCUCGUAGGCGGUCUGUCGCGUCGAAUGUGAAAACCCGGGGCUCAACUCCGGGCUUGCAUUCGAUACGGGCAGGCUAGAGUUCGGUAGGGGAGUCUGGAAUUCCUGGUGUAGCGGUGAAAUGCGCAGAUAUCAGGAGGAACACUGGUGGCGAAGGCGGGACUCUGGGCCGAUACUGACGCUGAGGAGCGAAAGCGUGGGGAGCGAACAGG